rnacentral:rRNA from 1 species
AUUGAACGCUGGCGGCAGGCCUAACACAUGCAAGUCGAGCGGAUGAAGGGAGCUUGCUCCUGGAUUCAGCGGCGGACGGGUGAGUAAUGCCUAGGAAUCUGCCUGGUAGUGGGGGAUAACGUCCUGAAACGGGCGCUAAUACCGCAUACGUCCUGAGGGAGAAAGUGGGGGAUCUUCGGACCUCACGCUAUCAGAUGAGCCUAGGUCGGAUUAGCUAGUUGGUGGGGUAAAGGCCUACCAAGGCGACGAUCCGUAACUGGUCUGAGAGGAUGAUCAGUCACACUGGAAGUGAGACACGGUCCAGACUCCUACGGGAGGCAGCAGUGGGGAAUAUUGGACAAUGGGCGAAAGCAUGAUCCAGCCAUGCCGCGUGUGUGAAGAAGGUCUUCGGAUUGUAAAGCACUUUAAGUUGGGAGGAAGGGAAGUAAGUUAAUACCUUGCUGUUUUGACGUUACCAACAGAAUAAGCACCGGCUAACUUCGUG